GAUGAACGCUGGCGGCGUGCCUAAUACAUGCAAGUCGAGCGAACGGACGAGAAGCUUGCUUCUCUGAUGUUAGCGGCGGACGGGUGAGUAACACGUGGAUAACCUACCUAUAAGACUGGGAUAACUUCGGGAAACCGGAGCUAAUACCGGAUAAUAUUUUGAACCGCAUGGUUCAAAAGUGGAAGACGGUCUUGCUGCCACUUAUAGAUGGAUCCGCGCUGCAUUAGCUAGUUGGUAAGGUAACGGCUUACCAAGGCAACGAUUCAUAGCCGACCUGAGAGGGUGCUCGGCCACACUGGAUCUGAGACACGGCCCAGACUCCUACGGGGGGCAGCAGUAGGGAAUCUUCCGGGAUGGACGAAAGCCUGACGGAGCCACGCCGCGUAAGUGAUGAAGGUCUUAGGAUCGUAGAACUCUGUUAUUAGGGAAGAACAUAUGUUUACGUACCUGUGCACAUCUUGACGGUACCUAGUCAGAAAGCCACGGCUAACUACGUG
rnacentral:rRNA from 1 species